GGCAACGGGCCGCCAAGGAGCUCAGCCGGGCGGCCGCCACCCAGGGGGCAAUCGAGACGCGUGCCGUCGGGAGACAUGGCCCGCUCGCCCGUCGCUCUGCGGCGAGAGGACAAGUUCGACGGUGAGGCGGGGUAGAGGAACUAAGACAACGAGGGGGAGGAGGAGGAGGGGGAGGGGAGGUUUGCUGGGGGGGACACGGUCCGGCGACGCCAUGCCCAAGCUAACCGAUGGCUUCGACCUCGGCGACCAGGGCCGGUGCAUCACUGCCGCCUCCAAGCACAUCGUUACCAUCGUCAGAAUGAUGACCCGACAAUUGUCCAUUGGGGUGCAUAAUCAGAGAGUGUUCAGCAGCAGGCAAGAUCACGAGUGCUUGCUUCUCUACCCGGUCGACAUGUAAAUAUGCCUGUGUAGGUGCUCAAGAGCACAAAUUUCAGCAGUUGGAUCGCUGUUGAUGAUGACCAGAUAAGGCAGAUCAUUCCAUCGAUUCGCCGCGCCUGCCCCUCCAUACAUGACCCUUGCGCCUCCCAGGCCUAUCCCCUUCCCUGCAGAUUCUGCAGCCUUCGACCCCAUGGACGCCACACAUCCGUUGCAAGCAAUCUUCUACUUCCCCAUCGGAGGCCUGCCUCACAGUCUCUUCGAACUUCCUUCCCCGUCGGCGGCCUACCUCACAAUCUCUUCGACACUUCCCUCCCGCCUACCUCACAAUCUCUUCGACACUAACCUCCCUGUCCUCCUGCAUCCCUGGCUUGGCCCGCUCCUUGCAUUGCCACCGACGACCCCGCGGACGCAGCACAUGCCGUUGUUGAUAAUCAGGCUUCACAAUAAGGAGAAUAGGGUUAAUUAGUUGCUACUGGAAGUGGAGAGAUUGUCUACGCAGAGCGCUUAGAGAAAAGAGUGAGUGGUUCCAUUUUGUGUAGAGGGAAUGUUCGCAAUGCAUCUUAAAUUUUAGAGAGAAAUGAACCCAUAAAGAAUUCAGCAUUGUGUGUUUGUUAACGUAUCCCGACAGUAUAAAUGAACCCAUGAAGAAUGUUCAGAUUUCUUUCAAUGGUCAGUAGUAGAUUUGUUCACAAAACAAUUAUAUUACAGGUUAACUUGUCUAUAAUAUCGCUUCAUAUUUGUGUGUUUUAAGGUGAAUUUACUACAGAUCGUGGUAUCUAUAGGAGGUCAAUGUCCAUGAAUUGCAUUGCUGCUAGCUGCAGGCAUCAAGUAAUCCUAUCAAGACUGCUUUGAUGUUGUGGUCCGACUAAGCAUCAAACAUUUGUAUGCACAUAUAGCGACAAAGUGUGCAAUGGAGGUUCAUGAAAGCAUAUUAUGUAUAUUUUUGCAGUAUAUGAUCCUGGAGCCCUUUCAGGCUAUAGGUUGUGUCCAAGAGCCUUUUUGGAACAAAGCUUCAUCUACCACACUGAUGCUGAGAUUGCUGGUAACCUGCAUGUGACCUCUUGUCCUGGUAAUAUGAUGUUUCCUCUAUUUAUUUUAUAUAAUCAACCGCAGCUAUUUUCUGAAAUUAUUGGUCGACGACACCCUUUUUGGUAUAUCUUUUGUUUUCAAAACUCCUCCAUACUGGGCGCAAAACGUUUGCUACUCUUAAUGUUGGUUUAAGUUGAUGGGUUUCACAUUGGAUAGUGACACUGACAAUUUUUGCGAAUGUGAUGUAUCAACAUUCUCACAGAAUGCAACUGGUUGCAGAAAAGCAUUACCUUGUUACUAGGUGAAAUAAUUAAGUCUUACUUGGGCAAACUUUCUAAAAAUAUUGUUAUGGCUUGCACUAAUGAGAAAGCUUGAUUAGAGAUUAAGCUCUACAAUAACAGCACUCCUUUUUAAGGUAUGCAUAUGCAGCUCAAGCAUAGUAAGACAUGGUUCUUGUUGUUUCUCAUUGCCUUACUAUGUUCCAUAUUGUUCAUUGAGCUACAUUGUAAAUUCACUCUUGAACAAAUUCUUUGAAUUAAUAAAUCACCUCAUGGUCAUAGAUAGCAUGUUGGAAGAAACCCAACCUAAUGUGCAAACCGCUAACAUUGCAUUAAAUAGGCAUGGGAUUGAAACAAUAUUAUGAAAAGUUGGGAAUCCAUUUUUUAGAUAGCUUUGUGUAGUUUGUGUUACUUUUUGUGACAAGCUACUUUCUCCUUAAACAAUUAAUUUGAUUUCUUGAACAUUUAUAUAUUUUCAAAAUGCAAAAAACAUUACCGGAGAUGAUUGAAGACUAGCAAUUGAAGAUUUACUUCAUUUAGGCACCCUGAUUUAACCCAUGUAUGCCUUUAUUUUUUCGGGGGAAGCAUAUGUAUGCCUGAACGAGGAGAUUUGUAAAGUUAAGUUCUUUCUUGUGUAGAAGGUAUUGGACCGAUAUAUGCUUCUCCUCUUGUAUUUACUUCUUGCUUGGGCACUUGAACUGAUGUAAGGCUGAUGUUUUCUAGCCAACUUAUAAUCUCAUUUGCAGGUAUUUCUAAGUUUGGAUGUUUUUUUGUUUCCAUUUAUAAUUCCUAAACAUCCAUUUAUUUUGCAAUGUUGCACAAAAACUAUAUUUUGUGUAACUAUUAGUAAUCAAAAUAAUUGUUGUUCAAACAUUAUUUUGUGAUGAGUAAUUUUAUUUAAACUCCAACAAUUCCAUGUCACCGGUGAUGGAAAUAGAUCUUGCAACUCCAACAACAGAGACCUAAUUAAGUACAGUUUUCCAUAUUUAUUUUUUUCCAAAUGUUGAAUUGACCUCACAACCUUAAUGUAGUACUAGAUUUAUAGUAUUCUUCAUAUUAUGUAUUUGUCGACUGUGUGAGGUGGAUUUUCACUUGGCGGUGUUGGAGCACGGUGCAUUGCUAGAAAAGAAGACAGAGGUCGGGGCGACCAGACGAGAUAUGAUGGGAGGGGAAUGACACGGGAAGAUCCAGGUGACUUGGAUGCAGUGUUUGAGAGGUACACAGCCCCUGGAAUUCGCAUUAGAUUUAGAUAGUCUCUUUGAUAAGUUGUGGGUAUGAGUAACAAUGAACUGAGUGUCACUUACGAACGUAUAUGAUGUAUUGUUAUUUUUACUGGAUAUGGUGUAACAA